rnacentral:rRNA from 1 species
ACGAACGCUGGCGGCGUGCUUAACACAUGCAAGUCGAACGGAAAGGCCCUGCUUGCAGGGUACUCGAGUGGCGAACGGGUGAGUAACACGUGGGUGAUCUGCCCUGCACUUCGGGAUAAGCCUGGGAAACUGGGUCUAAUACCGGAUAGGAGCCAUUUUUAGUGUGAUGGUUGGAAAGUUUUUUCGGUGUAGGAUGAGCUCGCGGCCUAUCAGCUUGUUGGUGGGGUAAUGGCCUACCAAGGCGGCGACGGGUAGCCGGCCUGAGAGGGUGGACGGCCACAUUGGGACUGAGAGACGGCCCAGACUCCGACGGGAGGCAGCAGUGGGGAAUAUUGCACAAUGGGCGCAAGCCUGAUGCAGCGACGCCGCGUGGGGGAUGACGGCCUUCGGGUUGUAAACUCCUUUCGCUAGGGACGAAGCUUUUUGUGACGGUACCUAGAUAAGAAGCACCGGCUAACUACGUG